CCUACGGGAGGCAGCAGUGAGGAAUAUUGGUCAAUGGGCGGGAGCCUGAACCAGCCAAGUCGCGUGAAGGAAGAAGGUACUUAGUAUUGUAAACCUCUUUUGCCGGGGAGCAGAGGUCCGGACGUGUCCGGGCCGGGAGAGUACCCGGAGAAAAAGCAUCGGCUAACUCCGUGCCAGCAGCCGCGGUAAUACGGAGGAUGCGAGCGUUAUCCGGAUUUAUUGGGUUUAAAGGGUGCGUAGGCGGGCAUUUAAGCCGGCGGUCAAAUGUCGGGGCUCAACCCCGGCCUGCCGUCGGAACUGGGUGCCUUGAGUGGGCGAGAAGUAUGCGGAAUGCGUGGUGUAGCGGUGAAAUGCAUAGAUAUCACGCAGAACCACGAUUGCGAAGGCAGCAUACCGGCGCCCUACUGACGCUGAGGCACGAAAGUGCGGGUAUCGAACAGGAUUAGAUACCCGAGUAGUC
rnacentral:rRNA from 1 species